rnacentral:lncRNA from 1 species
GCCUAAUGUAGGUGAUGGGGAUGGCAGCAUGUGCAAUCUGCAUGGGAUGGGUGAAAAUACAGCUUCCGAGGUGGACCUGGAGCCAAGAAAGCAAAGGCUUCUUGGGGUAGCUUUGAACUUCUUUGGGAAUGUUCAUCCCCACAGGAUGAUAAUGGAUCUAAUCUGAAGUAAAGCCACUGAACCACACAUGGUGAGCAACCUCAGCUCCAACUACUUCAAUUUCCUCCUGAUCUAGUCCGUUGCACCAGAGUAGUUGGUGAUGGAGACGUUUCCAGGGAGGAGCAGGCCAGGCCAGGACUCUGUGAAGUGCUCAUUUGUAGCCCAGCUGCUGUCAAGGUUCAAGUCAGCAACCUGCAUGCAGCGUCUGGCACCUUCUGGGUGCCCUAGGGCAUCUGAGCUGGGCAGAUGGGACACAGCAGCUCCAGGAGAUCCAUGUAGCCAGCAGCCAGAGCCCACUCAGCACAGCCCAGUCGACCCUCGGCAACCUAAAUUUAGCCAGCUGACCUGAACCCUUCUUCUUCACAGCAAUGUAGCCGAAUUGAAACUUUCUGUGCGGUGAAGCGGUGUGCGUGUAAUUGCACCAGCAACGCGAGGGCAAUACGGGGCAGAUGCACAGAGAAGAGGCCUUCCCCCACCCACGGCUGGCAGCGGUAUUUUUCUCCCCUCCCGUCCGGUCCCCCCUUCCUCGUACGUGGCUCCCUCGUGAGCCAGCGGCGGGCAGGGCUCUCCCAGCUGCUGGGGACAACGCUUGGCUGCCUCGGCCCUGGGCUGGGGCUGGGGCUGGGGCGGCCGCGGA